GAAGAGCUCUAAGCUCCCAGGGUUCCCAGCCCUUACGAGCGAUCGGCGGGUCGCUCUCAUGGGGCCCACUGCAGGUGAGUUGUCGGUGGAAUCGAGCGCCUCUGGUUGGCGGUUCCGUCCUGUCUCUUCUUCCCGUUCGCUUGCCUCACCGCCUAUCGUUCCCCCGCCGCUCCCCUUGCUCCGCCCCCAUCGUGUUCGUCUGCCCCCAUAAAAAAAGAUCCAGUGGAAUCCCUCUCUCUCCACUGUUCCCAGAUCCGCCAUUGCCCCCAUCCCCUCUAGGCAGUCUCAAGUGGCACCAUUGAUCUGCUCCAGCGUCUUCGAGCGGUACCAUCAUAGAGAGGAGUGCUAUGGCGAUCUCGAGCGCAUCCAGUACGAGGAGGACCUGCUCUGGCGAUGAGCGAUAAGCAACCAGUCCAGGGCCUGCGGGACAAGGGCAAGGAGGGGACACCUUCUACGUCAGUGAUCUUGUUGUGUGGCGGCUCCUUAUUCUGCUUGAUGACAGGACGUGUACCCACCCACGACAACCUGCAAUCAUAUUGUGAUUUCCUCUCUUCUCUCUCUCGUGACCCCUGGGUUACUCUUUUUUUUAUCUCAUUUGUAUGAUCAGAUUUGUAUGUGUUGAUUUUGAUGACAUUAAACUCAAGGUUGACCAAAUUGGAGGAUUAAAAUCCAAGCUAAGCAAAAUUUGUUCGAUGAAAUGCCUUGCCCUGUUUUCUAGCUGAUGUGGAGAAUUCAUUUAUGAUUCUUGCUCUACACAUGACUUCUGGUUGCGUGGCUACUAGUCAGUAACUCUGUUUCCUGCUAGCCGGUGGCCUUUGUGCACCCUUGUGUGAUGCAUCUGCAAAAGGUUUAGAGUAACUAAUCUUGCAGUAUAUAACAUUGCUAAAAUCAAGUUUAACUCAACUUAUUCAGCAUACUUUACAUACCUAGGUUAAUAUAUCCUGCACACCUCCUAGAAACUGAAAAAGAAACUUAUUUGAGCGGAAUUAUGCCAUAUAUAACAAAGAGAACAUACAUAUGUUGUGAUGGUACUUGCAUAAGCUCAUUUAUUAUGGUUCAUUCAGUUUCAUUGCAUAUGAGCCAAUUUGUGUGUGUAGCCAUGUAGGUAUCUGUCAAGUAAGCCAGCAUUGGAACAACUCAACAAUCACCAAGAAGGUGAUACGAAUUACCAGUUCAACCUCAUAUCUGAUUGGUCAUAUUUUUAGUUUUGCAUAUGAACUUCUGGAUCGUGAAUAUGUCGCUGAUGUAAAUCUCCAUAGGCCUGCCACAAUGCUUUCAUAUUCUUUGUAGUUGUUUCUGCCACUUCUGACUUGAUGUAGUCUCAUAGAUGUGUGAUGCUGCAAGCUUCCUUUUCACCAGGAUAUUCAAGUAGUAAUUAACAUUGACAACUUCUACAUGCUUAUGUGCGCACAUAACCUGAGGGUUGCCUCCGCAGCACUCUCCACUGAGGCAUACUGUCCGGGCAUAUGUUUUCUUCUCACCAUGGUGACAUUGUGUAUGACGAGCUGCAAGGCAUCAACUGACGUGGGAUAUAAAGAAUCUGUGUGGCCUACAAACCAAGGUUCCUGCUUCAGAUCUCUAUAAGUAUUAGCUUCACAUAAUUGGAAUCGAUAACAUAUGAGAAAAACUGUACUUAACAAUUGUUCACACUGAGAAGAGUAUCUGAUAUCGGUCCUCAAUCCUAAGUAUUUAGUUUCCAUGGUCCUAAAUGGUUGUAGAAAAAUUGCACAGUUGUUUCUUCGAUGUGGAAUGACUUUGUUAACUGCAUUUUGAGUGUUUUGAGCAUUUUGUGUGCUAUAUAAAAAACCAUGCUUUGAGUAUAGGGCCAUUAAAGGCAAGGGCCUUCUUGGUUAAUGUAGUUCGUGUAUGUUCUUUUUGCGAGAAGAUCAUGUAUGGUUCACAUUUUUUUAAUCACGCGGUUAAUAUGUGUCUUGAAAGCACGAAGUACUUAGUCUCAUAUUUUCUGUUAGACUAAUAUUGAAAUAAGGAAACUGACAAUGAUGGACCCUCGUGGGAAUCUUUUGCUUCCUUGCAUUGCCGACUCGGGGGAAUUGCUGGCCAGAAGAGCGUGUCAAAGGCGGCAGAUGAGAGAUGAUUUGCUGUCAGGGAAGAGAUCGAGUUGUCGUAUCACCGGAUCUGAGGUCUGAGCCUAUGCAGGCAUCGCCUCCCUAUCUAGGGGUUGAGCUCCAGAUCCCGCCAAUUCUCUCACAUGUCGCCGUCUUUGCAAUAAAGAAAUGUUUCUUCUCGGCAUGUUCUACCUGCAGAUAAGGAGGAGCCAGGGGAUGCGCAUGCGGUAAGCAAGGUCGGUCCUGCGCCUCUCCGACCGAGCACACAGUAAGGCCAUUGAAGAUGCUGGUACAGUUUUCUGUUUAUAUGUUUAACGCCUCUUUUUUUAUGUGGAAAAUGAGUAAAUGACAACUCAAGACAGCUCCUUAGAGUACCUUUUCUAUCUUUAACCAUUUUAUCAAGACAAUGUUUCGUA